rnacentral:rRNA from 1 species
CCCGGUCCUUGUACACACCGCCCGUCACACCACGAAAGUUGGCAACACCCGAAGCCGGUGGCCUAACCCUGUGAGGGGGAGGAGUCGUCGAAGGUGGGGUCAGUGAUUGGGGUG